rnacentral:lncRNA from 1 species
UCACUUGGUCCCCGGGCGCUACAAGCUGCCCACUGCUCCUGGGGGGUCCUUGAGGAAGGACAGUCCAGGAUGGGAAAAAGCAGAAAAUAAAUUCACCGCGACCUAAGGCUUACCUGCGUGUGUGUGUGUGUGUGUCCUGUGUCGCCUCCAUAUAUGCACGUGUGUGUUCCAGUGUGUCGUGUGUGCCAUUAAAAACCUGACAAAGGUCUUAAUUAUUUUAUUAUUAUUAAAGUUAGUGAUGUAGUAGGAUAGGCUGUAAAGACUAGCCAAUGUAAAAUGAAAUGUAAAGGAACAGUGUGUAGGGAUUUAGAAGGGGUGUAUUAGCAGAAUUGGGAUGUAUCAUUAUAUUUCUUUUGUAUAUGUACCGGUACGUUACAAUGGCAGUUCGAACUUGGUGGUGCUGGUUAAAAGAAGAAGAAAGAGGAAUCAGUGGUUGCUGGUGACAACAAACUAUUUUGUGUUGAGAGAACCCUGCGAAAUAGUGACAAUCAUGCUAUGCUACAUUUAGAAGCAUUUCAAGAACAAAGAGUGGCAUUGACGUUACCUUAGGCCUAACUCCCUGUAGCUCAACAUGCAAUGCCUCAUCUCCAGUCCAGCGGGAGCAGGAGAAUUGAGCGAAUUGUGGGUGUAGCCAUGCUGUCCAUCCAAAUCCAUCCCACCAACAGAAAUGCUUCUUUCGUCCAUCAGUGUGUAGAUCCUGCCCAUUACAUUUCUGCCACUUGGCAUUUUGUAAGCCAAAGUUUUUUUCCCUCUUGAUUUACAAGCUUUACAACAGUGAUACCGAAGAUCAGUCCAGUGCAGUCCAAGGUCCCAGCACUAGAUCAAGGUCAAGAGCCAACCAGCCCAGCAUACCCAAUAUAGAUAUAGGUGACACAGCCACUAGCCCGCCUCCUACAAACGAUCUCCAGAACACCAGUUAUCGCACUACCAACUCUCCAAACUCCAGAAUCUCUACGCCAUUCAGACGUGGGUCAGCUACAACUACAAUGAGGGGCGACAGCAGCUCUUUCCUACGCACUGACAACAAUCCUUCUAUCAACCAAAUAGUCACUGUUGGCAUUGGAUCUACUUCAACUACCACUUCUAUCUCAAGUGCUACUGCGUCCACUAGUCAGUCUGUCAGCCAACAUCCAAGACUGACUGCUAGUGUCACUCCAGUGACUGCUAGUGUCACAGUCUCUAGCUCCCAAUUUGGCCCCCCUUCUGACUAUGCCACAUAUGUAUCCUUGAUGAGAGAUCUGUCUGAUUUAUCGUCAGAUGAUGAGGACUUCAACUUGGCAAUAAUGGCUAGCCUUGAAACUGAACAAGCCCAAGCCACUCUAAGCCAAAAUUCAUCUGUUAAGGAGAUUCUCUUGGAGUUGGCCGAGAACAUCUCACCAAGUAUUCGUUUUAAAUUUAAUAUAAAUCGCUCGGCAGUGUUGGAUGGUGCCUUCCGAGGUUUCAAGCGGGCAACAUACAACCCCAAUGCCACUAUGAAUAUAAAAUUUUCAGAUGAUCUUGGGCGCAAUGAGGAGGCAGUCGAUUUUGGAGGACCAAAGAGAGAAUUUUUACGCCUGCUGAUGGAAACCUUGGCGAUGAGCCCUAUGUUUGAGGGGUCCCUUUCCAGUCAAAAUUUGGCACUUGACAUUCCAGGUAAUUUCUUGUAG